CCUGAGCCAAAGGUGGAUGUCUAACUGAUUGAGCCACCCAGGCUCCCUGGGGGAGGAUUUUUAAGUGUUAGAGGGAGCUAGUGAAGGAGAGAUAACCAACGAGUGCAUGAGGAUAAAAACAGGAUGCUGUGUCCUUUGCCUCCUGUCUGCCGUGGAGGAUGUGUGAAAUGAAGUGCUAACACGAGGGCACUGGAGAGACUUCCGGAGAAAUCCCAUCUGUGCAGGCUCAAGGAAUUCGUAAGCUUCUUCUCCACAGAGAAAUAUAGUGAUGAUUCCAGGAUCACCCAGCCAAAAGUGAUGGAAUCGGACCAAGAAGCCAAGCCUGACUACACAUCUAGACUUCUUUCUACUAUGAAAGAAAUGAACUAUGAUUGUUGUGCUAAUGAAAGGUGAUCAAAAUCUCAUGUUUUGAGAAUGACAAUAUGGCUAUCUCCAUAUUAAAAACAAUUGCUAUGA